rnacentral:rRNA from 2 species
GCAUCAGGUAACAUCAAAUCGUACCCCAAACCGACACAGGUGGUCAGGUAGAGAAUACCAAGGCGCUUGAGAGAACUCGGGUGAAGGAACUAGGCAAAAUGGUGCCGUAACUUCGGGAGAAGGCACGCUGAUAUGUAGGUGAAGUCCCUCGCGGAUGGAGCUGAAAUCAGUCGAAGAUACCAGCUGGCUGCAACUGUUUAUUAAAAACACAGCACUGUGCAAACACGAAAGUGGACGUAUACGGUGUGACGCCUGCCCGGUGCCGGAAGGUUAAUUGAUGGGGUCAGCGCAAGCGAAGCUCUUGAUCGAAGCCCCGGUAAACGGCGGCCGUAACUAUAACGGUCCUAAGGUAGCGAAAUUCCUUGUCGGGUAAGUUCCGACCUGCACGAAUGGCGUAAUGAUGGCCAGGCUGUCUCCACCCGAGACUCAGUGAAAUUGAACUCGCUGUGAAGAUGCAGUGUACCCGCGGCAAGACGGAAAGACCCCGUGAACCUUUACUAUAGCUUGACACUGAACAUUGAGCCUUGAUGUGUAGGAUAGGUGGGAGGCUUUGAAGUGUGGACGCCAGUCUGCAUGGAGCCGACCUUGAAAUACCACCCUUUAAUGUUUGAUGUUCUAACGUGGACCCGUGAUCCGGGUUGCGGACAGUGUCUGGUGGGUAGUUUGACUGGGGCGGUCUCCUCCUAAAGAGUAACGGAGGAGCACGAAGGUUGGCUAAUCCUGGUCGGACAUCAGGAGGUUAGUGCAAUGGCAUAAGCCAGCUUGACUGCGAGCGUGACGGCGCGAGCAGGUGCGAAAGCAGGUCAUAGUGAUCCGGUGGUUCUGAAUGGAAGGGCCAUCGCUCAACGGAUAAAAGGUACUCCGGGGAUAACAGGCUGAUACCGCCCAAGAGUUCAUAUCGACGGCGGUGUUUGGCACCUCGAUGUCGGCUCAUCACAUCCUGGGGCUGAAGUAGGUCCCAAGGGUAUGGCUGUUCGCCAUUUAAAGUGGUACGCGAGCUGGGUUUAGAACGUCGUGAGACAGUUCGGUCCCUAUCUGCCGUGGGCGCUGGAGAACUGAGGGGGGCUGCUCCUAGUACGAGAGGACCGGAGUGGACGCAUCACUGGUGUUCGGGUUGUCAUGCCAAUGGCACUGCCCGGUAGCUAAAUGCGGAAGAGAUAAGUGCUGAAAGCAUCUAAGCACGAAACUUGCCCCGAGAUGAGUUCUCCCUGACCCUUUAAGGGUCCUGAAGGAACGUUGAAGACGACGACGUUGAUAGGCCGGGUGUGUAAGCGCAGCGAUGCGUUGAGCUAACCGGUACUAAUGAACCGUGAGGCUUAACCUUACAACGCCGAAGGUGUUU